GCACAUUCGUCUAACACCCCGUAAACCGAGACCUCUAGGGUGUCUAAAUCACGUCUCUCAUACCUUGUCUAAGGGUGGCAAGGAAUAGUAACUCCA
rnacentral:ncRNA from 1 species